GCAUUGGUAGUUCAGGGGUAGAAUUCUUGCUUUCCAAGCAGGAGAUCUAGAUUUGACUUCCAGCCAGUGUG
rnacentral:tRNA from 1 species